GGUUAAUUAAGAACUGAAGAACCUCCUAUCCAUUUGAUUUGAUAACUACUUCCCCUUGAUAACAAAGUACAUUCCUUUUGUGUCUUUCAGAAAUUAAAACCUUUAUUUGUGCAGUCUAAAAUGAACUUGAUAACAGGUUCUACAUCUUCUGGAAGUGAUCAAACACCUUUGAUGGACAAGGACAUGGAUGUAGUCAGUGAUCAGAUAUUUUUCUCCCCUUUAUCAAAAGGGAGGUUGUCAGAAACGCCAGAGGAAGAGCCUUUGGAGAAGCCAUCAAUACCCCAGAACACCCCAGUGAACGAUAUGGAUGCUACUGAGUAAUGGGGCAGGGCACUGGGCUGCGCAGAGCGGACCCACAGAGUGGGCCCUCCCCUUCCCGGCAUAAGGCCUGCCUCCCUGACAAGGGAUACUACCGCCCAGGCAUUUUUAACAUCACAGGUCUGUCUCCCCAGAUGAUGUAGACUCACUCGUGACCCGCACCUGAAGUGAAGAGGACGUGACGUGCGCCCACUGUGAGCACCUUUCCAAGCCCUUAAGGCAGGUGCUCGCUCAUGCUGGGUGAACAUGACACACGAACUCCGAGGGGCUGCCAAAUCCACUGGGGCGCUUUCCUGGGCUCAGCAGUGUGUCCCAAAGC